rnacentral:rRNA from 1 species
CAAUAGCGUAUAUUAAAGUUGUUGCAGUUAAAAAGCUCGUAGUUGGAUUUCUGGUGGGAGCGAUCGGUCUGGCGCUUAGCGCGAGUACUUGCAUCGUCUCCGGCCAUCCUUGGGGAGAGUCUGUCUGGCAUUAGGUUGUCGGGCAGAGGAUCCUCAUCGUUUACUGUGAAAAAAUUAGAGUGUACAAAGCAGGCUUAUGCCGUUGAAUAUAUUAGCAUGGAAUAAUAAGAUAGGACUUUGGUACUAUUUUGUUGGUUUGCGCACCAAAGUAAUGAUUAAUAGGGACAGUUGGGGGUAUUCGUAUUCCGUUGUCAGAGGUGAAAUUCUUGGAUUUACGGAAGACGAACUACUGCGAAAGCAUUUACCAAGGAUGUUUUCAUUAA